CCCAAAGGAUUCUCUGCAUUACCUGUCAGUAAUUCCAUGCUCCAUAGUGAAGCUUAAUGGAAAAUCAAAAAGGGUGAGAUAAGUGAAGACUCAGAUCCUUCAGAGAUUAAUGUUUGGGACACACUACCAGGCCAACGCUGCUGCUUUUAUGUACACGUAGCCCCAGGCCCUGGUGGAGAGGACAUGCCACCAGGAGGCUGGCAGGUCCCUGCAAGGAAUGAUCCCAUACCAGGGAGCUGGUGGCCCAUCUGGAAAACGAUGGAAUUUGCACUGCUGCCUGCAAGAGGACUUCUGGCCAGGGGCUCUGGCUCCCCGGCCCCACCCAGAAACUCCCCAAAUUGGUCCACACACAACCGACCUGUGCA